rnacentral:rRNA from 1 species
AGCGAACGCUGGCGGCAGGCCUAACACAUGCAAGUCGAACGAAGUCUUCGGACUUAGUGGCGGACGGGUGAGUAACACGUGGGAACGUGCCUUUUGGUUCGGAACAACUCAGGGAAACUUGAGCUAAUACCGGAUGAGCCCUUAGGGGGAAAGAUUUAUCGCCGAAAGAGCGGCCCGCGUUAGAUUAGCUAGUUGGUGAGGUAAAGGCUCACCAAGGCUACGAUCUAUAGCUGGUCUGAGAGGAUGAUCAGCCACACUGGGACUGCGACACGGCCCAGACUCCUACGGGAGGCAGCAGUGGGGAAUCUUGCGCAAUGGGCGAAAGCCUGACGCAGCCAUGCCGCGUGAAUGAUGAAGGUCUUAGGAUUGUAAAAUUCUUUUACCAGGGACGAUAAUGACGGUACCUGGAGAAAAAGCCCCGGCUAACUUCGUGCCAGCUGCCGCCGUAACAC